UAGGCAGACCCAGAUGCUGGAACCCAGAAGGAUGACAGGAGGGAGGCGACGUGGCUGGAGGGAGAGCGUGAAUCCGAGACCGGACGAGGGCAGGAGGCACCGCUUGAGGAACCAGACCGUGACUUGAGAGGAGCCGGGAAAUUCCAACAGCGUUCCACUGCAGACGG